CUCUUACAAGCAGCACAUCUGGAGUUGUUCUUUCCUCCUGGUGGGUUCGUGGCCUCCCUGGCUUCAGUGGUAAAGCUGCAGACCUUUGCGAAUCUCAAGGGGCUAGUGCUCCAUGGAACAUGCUUUGAAAAAUGAUGCCUUCGAUUGAAGAACUGACAUCAUUGAUUAUAGUCCUGUGAAACUUCGUAUCCUCUGACGAGUAUCUCUCUAAUCUGCUCCGCCCCCUCCUG